AUCUCUCAAAACCCCCUUUUGUUUAAUUACCAAAGAGUUUUCGGGCUUUGGAUGUUGACUGGUUAAUGCCGUUUUCGUAAUGGCUCGGUCGAAAUACAAGAGCUGAAGCUAAUGAUUGUAAUCUGGCUUACUCUGGACUUGGCGUGAUAAUUAUUUCGCUAAAGAAAGAGUUUGCUGACGAUCGUUAAGCGGGCUUAUAAACCACAUCUUUUUAC
rnacentral:misc_RNA from 1 species